ACGUACACUCCUACGGGAGGCAGCAGUGGGGAAUAUUGCACAAUGGGCGCAAGCCUGAUGCAGCCAUGCCGCGUGUAUGAAGAAGGCCUUCGGGUUGUAAAGUACUUUCAGCGGGGAGGAAGGCAAUACGGUUAAUAACCGUGUUGAUUGACGUUACCCGCAGAAGAAGCACCGGCUAACUCCGUGCUAGCAGCCGCGGUAAUACGGAGGGUGCAAGCGUUAAUCGGAAUUACUGGGCGUAAAGCGCACGCAGGCGGUCUGUCAAGUCGGAUGUGAAAUCCCCGGGCUCAACCUGGGAACUGCAUUCGAAACUGGCAGGCUUGAGUCUUGUAGAGGGGGGUAGAAUUCCAGGUGUAGCGGUGAAAUGCGUAGAGAUCUGGAGGAAUACCGGUGGCGAAGGCGGCCCCCUGGACAAAGACUGACGCUCAGGUGCGAAAGCGUGGGGAGCAAACAGGAUUAGAAACCCGGGUAGUCCC
rnacentral:rRNA from 1 species